rnacentral:rRNA from 1 species
UACGGAGGGUGCAAGCGUUAUCCGGAUUCACUGGGUUUAAAGGGUGCGUAGGUGGGUUGGUAAGUCAGUGGUGAAAUCUCCGAGCUUAACUUGGAAACUGCCUUGGAUACUAUUCGGCUAGAGGGUUGGAGGGGGACUGGAAUUCUCGGUGUAGCAGUGAAAUGCGUAGAUAUCGAGAGGAACACCAGUGGCGAAGGCGAGUCCCUGGACAACUCCUGACACUGAGGCACGAAAGCUAGGGGAGCAAACGGG